UUUCUUGAUUCGGUGGAUGGUGGUACAUGUACGUUCUUAGUUGGUGGAGUGAUUUGUCUGGUUAAUUCUGAUAACAAACGAAACUCUAUCCUAUUAGAUAGUUGCGUGGUUCUCUGCAAAUUGCAAACUUGGAGGGACAAGCAGCUCCUAGCCGCACGAAAAAUGAGCAAAAACAGGUAUGUGAUGUCCUUACAUGUCCGUGGCCGCACGCGCGCUACACUGAAGAAUGCAACGUAUUUUUAUUCCUGUUUGUUAAGACAGUAAGCUGAGAAAAAAGUGACUUGAGGAAAUACAAAGGGCUAAUUGAAGUCCAUCGGGUUACCCCGAGCAAG
rnacentral:ncRNA from 1 species